rnacentral:rRNA from 1 species
UGGGGAAUUUUGCACAAUGGGGGAAACCCUGAUGCAGCGACGCCGCGUGAUUUAGAAGGCCUUCGGGUUGUAAAAAUCUUUUCUAUGGGAAGAAAAUGACAGUACCAUAGGAAUAAGGACCGGCUAAUUACGUGCCAGCAGCCGCGGUAAUACGUAAGGUCCGAGCGUUGUCCGGAAUCAUUGGGCGUAAAGGGUACGUAGGCGGGUAAGCAAGUGAGAAGUGAAAUCCUAUAGCUCAACUAUAGUAAGCUUUUAAAACUGCUCAUCUUGAGGUAUGGAAGAGAAAGUGGAAUUCCUAGUGUAGCAGUGAAAUGCGCAGAUAUUAGGAGGAAUACCGGUGGCGAAGGCGACUUUCUGGCCAUAACCUGACGCUGAGGUACGAAAGCGUGGGUAGCAAACAGG